AGUUCAGCCAUUUUAAGCCAAAAGUCUCUUGCCCUUAAAGUUCCAUCCUUCUUUCUUCUCUCUUCCUCCCAUUUUCGUACUUCUUCAUCCCGUAUAUGUUCCAGGCCAUUUUUCAUCCACUUCUGUUCAUUUUUAGCGUUUUGAUAUUUGAGACAAAGUUGUUCUUCUUGAAAAAUCCUUGAGGUUAGGCUUAAGAAUCACCCAGUUUGGAGCUAUAUACUAUGAGAUAUGGCCUCUGCAAGAUCUGACUCCUCCCUUUCAACGUGGACCUUUCUACUUUAGAUUGUUUUGCGGGGGAAUUGCAAGUUCGAGAUUAAAAAAUUUGUGUUUGUUGCAAAAGAUCGAGAUAGGUGAUGGCGAUCAGAAGACGUGAAUUAAAUGCUGCAUUGGGGACAAUGGGCGGUGAUCACCUAGUUAAAUUUAGUAGACAUAGUAUCAGUGUUGUGUUACUUUAGAAAUUCUUGAACUAUUAUUAUUAUUAUUAUUAAAUGACAAGUAUUUUCUUCCGCUGCAAA